UUCGAUGCAACGCGAAGAACCUUACCUGGUCUUGACAUCCACGGAAGUUUUCAGAGAUGAGAAUGUGCCUUCGGGAACCGUGAGACAGGUGCUGCAUGGCUGUCGUCAGCUCGUGUUGUGAAAUGUUGGGUUAAGUCCCGCAACGAGCGCAACCCUUAUCCUUUGUUGCCAGCGGUCCGGCCGGGAACUCAAAGGAGACUGCCAGUGAUAAACUGGAGGAAGGUGGGGAUGACGUCAAGUCAUCAUGGCCCUUACGACCAGGGCUACACACGUGCUACAAUGGCGCAUACAUAGAGAAGCGACCUCGCGGGAGCAAGCGGACCUCAUAAAGUGCGUCGUAAUCCGGAUUGGAGUCUGCAACUCGACUCCAUGAAGUCGGAAUCGCUAGUAAUCGUGGAUCAGAAUGCCACGGUGAAUACGUUCCCGGGCCUUGUACACACCGCCCGUCACACCAUGGGAGUGGGUUGCAAAAGAAGUAGGUAGCUUAAC
rnacentral:rRNA from 1 species